UAAUGGACAUAGACAUGGAAAUGGAGAC
rnacentral:sRNA from 1 species